UUCAAGUGGUGUUUCAGUGUUUUUAGAAUUGUUUUUGUGAGUUUUUCGUGUUAUUAAUGCUUUUAACACAUAAUUCCAGUCACAAAUAGUGAUUUAUACGUGUUUCAUUCGUUUUUUAUACUAAUUUACUACUGCUAAAGUAUUUUUGUGUGAAAAUUACGAAUGUUUUGGAUCUCUAACCAUACAAGGCUAAGUUCUAGAUAAAAUACGCUGCCAAGUCUUAGCCGAACAAAAGAAGCGAAACGAAAGCAGAGAUUUACUGUGGAAAUUUUGGAAGUCAGCCGGCACUGCGUUGUGGUGGCUUGCAUUAAUCACGCGAUGGAAAAAUAUCUCGAUUUCCAACAAACUUCUUACAAACAGAGGCUGUUCGUGGGAAUCCCGUGUAAUCCGGCCACUUAUCACGCGUGCAAAAUGCAAAUUCAGCGGUGGCUGGCGUACGCAGAAUUAACGAAAACGCGCGCCGGACCGGGAUUGGUACGUCAGUGAAAUUAUCAAAGUUUGCAAGUAACAUUAUCAAAGGAUAAACAAGUAAUCUAAAGUGUGCCAAGCCCAAACUACAUCUAAGUAAGUACAAGAACGUUCUAAAUUGCGGGCUUAAUUUUAAAGAGUUUGUUUCAUUAUACGUUCGGUAUACCCAUAACUACUUAUUGUCACAGAUUUCAAAAAGUAAUUUUCAAUUUCAAUGCAUAUUUUGCAAUGUUUUUUGCAAAUUCUGUGUUGGAUGCUGUCCCUAAAUUCGUAAAUCGAUUAAAGUUGUUUUAAGCAAUAUAAUGACAAAAUAGAUAGGUAAAAAAAAUUCUGUAAAUUGAGGGUUUCAAAAUCAAGCGUAUGGGAUACUGCAGUGAAUUUGGAUAUACACUUACGAAGUUUACCUUUACCUUACCUUUGUCUGAUAUGCAUAGUCCUCAAGAAGAACAAUGCACAAUGAAAAAUACUAUAAGUGUCAAAGUAUAUAGUACUAUGAUCACCUUUGGAGGAUGGCUACCACUUGAGAAGUGACAUGAGCCUUCAGCUUUUUAAAUAUUCCAAGUAAAAAAGAAGUUUGCAUUCUCUGAAACCGGCAUGCAUACAUGAAAUCAGUUACUCGUAUAAAUGUGGAUGAAGUAAAAUAAUGUAAAAGUUAAAAAAUAUCUUUUGGAAUUUGGUUCUGUGGAGCUAUAAGAUCUGGUAUUAUA